GUCGGAUACGGAUUUUAGAUGUCUAACCCGUUUAAACUGUUUAACCCGUUUAACUGUUGGGCAGGUUAAACAGGUCUAAACAGGUUAAACAGGUUGGGUUGGGCAGGUUAAACAGGAUUGGGCAGAUUAAACAGGUCUAAACAGGUUAAACGGGUCGGGUUGGGCAAAUAGGUUAAAAAAAGUCGGGUCGGGUUGGGCAAACAGGUUACCUGUUUAUUAAACAGGUUAAACGGAUCGGGUUAGGUUACCUGUUUAUUUAACAUGACAGGUUUAGGUUGUAAUUUCUGACCCGUUUAGUAAACAGGUCGGGUUCAGGUUUAUGAUUUUCUGACUCGACUUGCAUGUGAUCCGACUCGAUGCGAUUGCCACCUCUACUUAGCCUUUCUUCAAUGCCCACGGUCAUCACUCAUCUCUAGAAAUGGAGGAGGCUGGAUGAUAGUUUUGAAAAUAGAAUUGUGCAUGUAUGAAAGGAGGGAAGUUAGAAAAGAGAAAAAAUACGCAGAAAUCUGUAGAAAACAGCAUAGAAAAAAACACUGUUCACAUGAAUAGUAAUCCGACCUGUGACUGUUCACAGAACAGUAACCUGACCUGGUUACUAUUCAUGAAACAGUAACUCAGAUUAUAAAAGAGAGGACAACAGCCAAAAAAAUAAAAAGACAAGGAGAAGAAAUCCUAGAAAGGUGAGUGCCACCAUGGGCGAAGCCCUGAGAGACUCUUUUCUUCCACUUUCAUCUUGCUUCUUGACCUAUUAUCUUCUUGGAGCCACUUUCUUAACCCCGUCAUCCUUCAUCUCGAUACUUUGGUGGAGCACGGCCUAAAAAUUUUCAUUGGAUUGGAGGGACCAAACUCGCAGAGGUAAUUAUCUGACUAGUUCUAUCACCAUUUUUUUGCCCAUCCCUUAUUUCUUCGACCAUCAAUCAUUAUCUCCACCCAUCAUCAUUACCAUCGUUGCCAUCUAUCACAUCCUUGGAACCCGAGAUUACUGGCAAUAUUUAUUUUAUUGUUUUAUUGUAGUUAUUUUCAGUUUGCUGCACUAGUUAUAUUUCAUUAAUUAGACUUCGUUAAUUAUCUAUCUAUCAUGUUCUGUUUUGUAUUCACAUACCUCUAUGAUGAUCUUUUGGGAUGAGUAUUUGCUGAAGUAUCUAAUCAAUCGCACUAUAAUUGAUUAUUAUGAAAUCAAUCUACACCUGUAAUAAUCGAUUAUAGGUUGCACCAAAGUGGUAUCAGAGCUAAUAGGUCCUGCAUAUUUAAAAAUCUUUAUUAUUAUUUUUGCAUCAUAACAUCCAUUUUUUCUGCACUUUAAAUUCUAAAAAUUAAAUUUCUGCGCUUCAAAAUAGAGAAAUAUAUUUUCUGAAUUAAAAAAAGUAAAUUAUAUUUUCUGCAUUUAAAACUACAUAAAUUUUAAUUUUUGGAGUUAAAAAUACAAAAAAAUUAGUUUCUGCAUUUAAAAAAAUUCUGCUUUCAUUUUCCGCAUUUAAAAACUAAAAAAAUAUUUCUGUAUUAAAAUAUUACUUUCUGUAUUAAAAUAUUCAUUUUCGGCAUUAAAAAAAAUUGAAAAUUUUUUUCUGAAAAAAAUCUGUUUCAUCUCCAUAAUAUUAGAAGCACCUCUGAAACAGUUUUGAGUUGAAUCUUAGCCUACAAUCAUGUUUGAUAAUUGGCAAGAUGCAUUUAGAACCCAACAACAAACUUUAGAACAAAUCCAACGACAGGUAGAACACCUCUCCAGCUUCAUGACUAGACUAGAAUUGAACAUAUCUGAGAUAGUGAGACCUAGGAGAGAGAAACUAUUAGGAUGAACCAAGACGUAGAGUCAGACCUCAAGGUAGACAAAGGGUCAAUUAGAGGGUAGUCGAGAGUAGUGAGUCAGAUAAGAUAGAAAAUGACUUAGAUGACCGACCAUUACGUAGGAACAGAGAGAGACCACCACAUAGAGAACCCCCUCAUGCUAGACGUUGGGAUGAUGGCAUUAAGAUUGAUGGAGAUUUUGAGGGGCGUUUCCAGCCAGAUGCUUUUCUUGAUUUGGUCAACAAAAUCGACCAAUAUUUUGAUUGGAAGAAAAUCCCUGAGGAUAAAGAGGUCAAAUUUGUGACCCUCAAAUUGAAGGGACACGCACUGGUUUGGUGGAAGCAACUCCAAGAACGAAGAGUUCAACAAGGUAAGGAUAAGAUCCGUACCUGGAGUAAGAUGAAGGAGAAGUUGAGGAAAUGAUUUGUCCUGUUACAUUAUCGCGAAAACCGCUACUUGAAAUUCCAAAACCUCCGACAAGGAACUAGGAUCGUGGAUGAGUACACCAAGGAGUUCUAUGAGCUCCAAGCAAGAAACAGCCUUAGUGAGGAUCCCAUUCAUGUUGCCAGUAGAUAUAUCAAUGACUUGAGACAAGACAUCCUAGACCAAGUGGAGAUGUUCGAUGUCUUGAGUAUUGAUGAUGCCCAUCGCCGUGCAUUGAGGGUAGAAGCACAACAAAGGCGAACUAGUGGCUGAAAGUGGGACUCAAACAGAAAUUCUACUACCCAUGUAAAGAGUCAGAUUGAAGAUAAGGCAAUACGUUCUCAGAACCCUACCAAGACCACAACUACCCUAAAGCCCAAUUCUAACAAGGAAUUAUAGGACAAGGGCAAAGGCGGACUGGCACCGGCACCUGAUUCUACUAUCAUUUGCUAUAAGUGUCGGUUACCCGGUCAUAAAUCCUUUGAAUGUUUCCUGAGAAAAUUUCAGUCUCAGUCUCACCUAAUUGAGCAUGGACGCUAGGACGGUUCAGAUGAACCCAAUUUAGAGAAAUGAGGGUGAGUCUGAACAUGAAGAUGAGUCGGAGAACGACAAUGUCCACAUUACAGGUGAUGCGGUGGGUCCACUCAUGGUGAUUCACCAUAUCAUGGUCGCACCUAAGCAACCUGUCUAGGACAAUUGGUUGAGACGAAGUAUUUUCUUGACUAUGGGUACUGCAGGGGGAUAUAGAUGUUCUAUCUUGAUUAUAGUGGCAGUACUGAAAACUUCGUAUCUCAACACAUGGUUGAUAAAGUAAAGAUACCUACACAAAAGAUUUAUAAACCAUAUAAGGUAUCUUGGUUUAAGGAGGGACAUGAGGUUCCAGUCACCCACAGGUGUCUAGUAGAGUUUUUCAUUAGAAAACGAUGCCAAGAUUAGGUAUGGUGUGACGUUAUGCUUAUGGAGGUGUGCUACGUGUUGUUAGGUAGGCCUUGGCAGUACGAUAAGAAGACCCAACAUGACGGAGAAAAGAAUAUAUAUUUCUUUGUGAAAGACAAAAUGAAUAUCACACACUAUCCACAAAAGGAAUUGCAUGGGUAUAACACGAAAAAUUUUGUGAAAGCUAGAGGCAAAGAACGUAUUCAAAGGGCCUUGAUUCUAAAUUUAAAAUAUUUUUGGCCUAAGAUGAGAGACGAUGUCAUUAGAUACAUGCGAAAAUGUCAACAUUGUCCGCAAGAAAAAGAAAAGGUCCAAAAUACAGGCUUGUACACCCUGUUGCCUAUCUCUAGUGACCCUUGGGAGGAUGUCACCAUGGGCUUCAUUGUAAAACUACCAAUGUCUGUUAGGAAGGUUGAUUCGAUUUUUGUUGUGGUGGACCGGUUUUCAAAAAUGUCACAUUUCAUUUCAUGUAGAAAAAUAUCUAAUGCAUCUCAUAUAACACAUUUAUGUUUUAAAGAAAUUGUUAGACUGCAUGGUAUUCUAAGAUCAUUCACAUAUGAUAGGGACACAAAAUUUACUAGUUAUUUUUGAAAAAAAUCUUUGGAGCAAAUUAGAAACGAAAUUAAACUUUAGCAAUGCUUGUCACCCUCAAAUAGAUGGUCAGAUAGAGGUAGUGAACCGUACACUUGGUAACAUGUUUAGAUGUUUGGUUAGUGAGCAUCUUACUCAGUGGGAUUUGGUUUUAGCACAGGCUGAAUUUGCAUACAUGUCUAUAAAUCGUACUACUAGUAAGUCUUCCUUUGAAAUCAUCUACGGAUUUUCUAUUUCACACAUACUUGAUCGUGCUUCCAUUUCCUAUCAUGGUCGGAUAAGUGCCGAAGCAGAGAAGAAUAUUGAGCAGGUCCGUCACAUCCAACGGAAAGUUCAUCAGCGCUUGCUUGACUUCAGUGCUAGGUAUAUAAGGAUGAUGCUGACCGUUAUCAUAGGGAGGUUCACUUUGCAGAGGGCUAUCUGGUGAUGGCCUAUUUCAGGAGAGAGAGAUUUUCAUUGGGCAGUUACAGCAAACUUAGCUGGCGAAAGUAUGGUCCAUUCCGCAUAUGUCGAAAGUUGGGGGAGAAUGCCUAUUUAUUAGAGCUUCCAGACAACGUCUAGACUUUCCCAAUUUUCAACAUCGCCGAUCUGUACCAGUUCUAUGGAGAUCCACCAGAGGCGGUUGCAGAUCCAGAUCUACCCAGCACCAGCUUAGAUUCCAGUUUUCAUGAGGAUAUUGAGGAUAUUCUUGACAUGUGAGCAGUAGACACUAGGCGUGGGCAGUACCGUAGAUUUCUUGUGCGUUGGCAAGGGAGACUUAUGUCAGACAGUUCAUGGAUCAGCGAGGACGAGUUGAGGUGCCAGAGACCUGAUUUGUUGCAGUGCAUACAGGAGGCCUACUCGUUAGGAGUCGAGUUCUUCCCAGUUGGGGGAAACUGAUGUAGUCUCAGGACUCCAUCUUAGACAUAGUUUAUGUUUUUUGUUGUUUUUGUGUUUUUCAUCCAAAGCCAUGUUUAGGCUUGAAUUUUCAGUCGAGUCGUGUACUAGUACUGCUAAGCAAAAAGGGUCCACCUAGGUAUGAUAGGAAGUCUAACCCAACUCCAAAUCACCACACUUAAUUGUUUGAGCCUUAGCCUUUCUUCAGUGCCCACGGUCAUCACUCAUCUCUAGGAAUGGAGGAGGAUGGAUGAUAGUCUUGAAAAUAGAAUUGUGCAUGUAUGGAAGGCGGGAAGCUAGAAAAGAAAAAAAAAUACGCAGAAAUUUGCUGCACAGAAAAAACACUUCACAUGAAUGGUAGCCCGACCCGUUACUGUUCAUAGAACAGUAACCCGAUCAGGUUACUAUUCAUGGAACAGUAACUCAGCCUAUAAAAGAGAUGACAGUAGCUAAAAAAAAGACGAGAAGAAGAAACCCUAGAAAGGUGAGUGCCAUUGUGGGCGAAGCCCUGAGAGACUCUUUUCCUUCCACUUUCAUCCUGCUUCUUGACCUAUUUCUUCUUGGAGCCAUCUUCUUGACCUCGUCAUCCUUCAUCUCGAUACUUUGGUAGAGUGCGGCCUGAAGAUUCUCAUUUGAUUGGAGGAACCAAACUUGCUGAGGUAAUUAUCCGACUAGUUCUAUCACCAUCUUUUGCCCAUCCCUCAGUUCUUCGACCAUCAAUCAUUAUCUCCAUCCAUCAUUAUUACCAUCGUUGUCAUCUAUCACAUCCUUGGAACCCGAGAUUACUGGCAGUAUUUAUUUUAUUGUUCUGUUGUGGUUAUUUUCAGUUUGCUGCACUAGUUAUAUUUCAUUGAUUAGACUUCAUUAAUAAGAUAUCUAUCAUGUUUUGUUUUGCAUUCACAUACCUCUAUGAUGAUUUUUUGAGAUGAUGAGUAUUUGCUGAAGUAUCUAAUCAAUCGCACUAUAAUUGAUUAUUAUGAAAUCAAUCUACACCUGUAGUAAUCGAUUAUAGGUUGCACCAAUAUUAAAGUUAUCAUCGAAUUACCAUUGAUGAUGAUUAUCAUUUAAUACUGCUUAAAUGAGAGGGUAGUAUAAAAUUAAAGCGGAAUAAAGCGCCUCUGUAUGUGGGGGAAGUAAGUGGGAGGGCAUUAAAGCAUUUGUAUGGGGGAAGUAAGUGGGAGGGCAUUAAAGCAGAAUAAAGCGCCUCUGUUACCCACACAGAACUUGACUUUGAAAUCCGUGGGCUGAAGUACAGUUCAUUGAUUUUGCUGAAGUGGGAAGCAGAUUUCCUUGCUUUGGUUUGAGUUGCAUGGAAACAUAUGCCUGGAAAUGCCCAUCAUGGAAAUGCAAUUCUAUGGCCUUGUCAGUGCUUGCAGUAUAAAAUUUUACUGCUUGGUAUUUGGUCUCCCUCUAUCUCAAGUGCAAGUGUGCGUGCGAGCGUAUGUUUACCAUGCCUAUCUAUUGUGUUGCAUGGAGUUCCUUAUUCUCUGUUUAACAAAUGCCACUUUCAUUUUUUGUCAUCUGUUUCUUACAUUAUACGCUUCUUGUGCUAUUUAACAAACACAGACAUUAUUCGGUAUUUCACAAGGGAUCUAUCCUAUAUUACUAUAUGUAUGCUUACAUGAUUAAAUUGCUUCCUAUCUAAUGCACAUAUGCAUGCUGAAAUCGUUGGGGUUGAUUUCCUAAUGCUUCUAUUUGUUAUCUGAUACUACUUGACUUGUUUUCAUUUAAUGAUAGUAAAUUUUUGAACUAAAUAUAAUAUUUCUCUUAAUUUGCAG
rnacentral:lncRNA from 1 species